rnacentral:SRP_RNA from 1 species
GCCGGGUGUGGUGGCGCGUACCUGUAAUCCAAGUCACUGGGAGGCUGAGGUUGGUGGAUCGAGUGAGCUGAGGAACUCUGAGCUGCAGCACGCUAUGUUGAACGGGUGUUCCUGGGGGAGCCCGGGACCACCAGGUCGUCUAAGGAGGGGUGUACCGGCCCAAGUCGGAAACAAAGCAGGUCAAAUCCCCCGUGCCGUCCAGUAGUGGGAUAGCGCCUGUGAGUAGAUGCUGCAGUGCAGCCUUGGCAAGACAUCGAAACCUAAUCUUU